rnacentral:rRNA from 1 species
GAUGAACGCUGGCGGCGUGCCUAAUACAUGCAAGUCGAGCGAACAGAUGAGGAGCUUGCUCCUCUGACGUUAGCGGCGGACGGGUGAGUAACACGUGGAUAACCUACCUAUAAGACUGGGAUAACUUCGGGAAACCGGAGCUAAUACCGGAUAAUAUAUUGAACCGCAUGGUUCAAUAGUGAAAGACGGUUUUGCUGUCACUUAUAGAUGGAUCCGCGCCGCAUUAGCUAGUUGGUAAGGUAACGGCUUACCAAGGCAACGAUGCGUAGCCGACCUGAGAGGGUGAUCGGCCACACUGGAACUGAGACACGGUCCAGACUCCUACGGGAGGCAGCAAUAGGGAAUCUUCCGCAAUGGGCGAAAGCCUGACGGAGCAACGCCGCGUGAGUGAUGGAGGUCUUCGGAUCGUAAAACUCUGUUAUUAGGGAAGAACAAAUGUGUAAGUAACUAUGCACGUCUUGACGGUACCUAAUCAGAAAGCCACGGCUAACUACGUG